UGGGGAAUUGUUCACAAUGGGCGCAAGCCUGAUGACGCAACGCCGCGUGGGGGAUGAAGGUCUUCGGAUCGUAAACCCCUGUCGAAUGGGACGAAAGACUCGCGAGUGAAUACUUCGCGAGAGUGACGGUACCGUUAAAGGAAGCCACGGCUAACUCUGUGCCAGCAGCCACGGUAAUACGUAGGGUGCAAGCGUUAAUCGGAAUUACUGGGCGUAAAGCGUGCGCAGGCGGUUAUGCAAGACAGAUGUGAAAUCCCCGGGCUCAACCUGGGAACUGCAUUGGAAACGGUAUAGCUAGAGUAUGGGAGAGGGAAGUGGAAUCUCCGGUGUAGCGGUGAAAUGCGUAGAGAUCGGAAAGAACACUCGUGGCGAAGGCGGCUUUCUGGCCCAUAACUGACGCUGAGGUGCGAAAGCAUGGGGAGCAAACAGGAUUAGAUACCCUCGUAGUCCCUGAGCGGGCUGGCAAGGCGCAU
rnacentral:rRNA from 1 species